AGUGAACGCUGACGGUAGGCCUAACACAUGCAAGUCGAACGGCAGCACAGUAAGAGCUUGCUCUUACGGGUGGCGAGUGGCGGACGGGUGAGGAAUACAUCGGAAUCUACUUUUUCGUGGGGGAUAACGUAGGGAAACUUACGCUAAUACCGCAUACGACCUACGGGUGAAAGCAUGGGAUCUUCGGACCUUGCGCGAUUGAAUGAGCCGAUGUCGGAGUAGCUAGUUGGCGGGGUAAAGGCCCACCAAGGCGACGAUCCGUAGCCGGUCUGAGAGGAUGAUCAGCCACACUGGAACUGCAACACAGUCCAGACUCCUACAGUAGGCAGCAGUGGGGAAUAUUGGAGCAUGAGCGCAAGCCUGAUCCAGCCAUACCGCGUGGGUGAAGAAGGCCUUCGGAUUGUAGAGCCCUUUUAUUGGAAAAGAAAAGCAGCAGGUUAAUACCCCGCUGUUCUGACGGUACCCAAAGAAUAAGCACCGGCUAACUUCGUG
rnacentral:rRNA from 1 species